UCCUUGAUUUAGCGGCGGACGGGUGAGUAAUGCCUAGGAAUCUGCCUAGUGGUGGGGGAUAACGUUCCGAAAGGAACGCUAAUACCGCAUACGUCCUACGGGAGAAAGCGGGGGAUCUUCGGACCUCGCGCCAUUAGAUGAGCCUAGGUCGGAUUAGCUAGUUGGUGAGGUAACGGCUCACCAAGGCGACGAUCCGUAACUGGUCUGAGAGGAUGAUCAGUCACACUGGAACUGAGACACGGUCCAGACUCCUACGGGAGGCAGCAGUGGGGAAUAUUGGACAAUGGGCGAAAGCCUGAUCCAGCCAUGCCGCGUGUGUGAAGAAGGUCUUCGGAUUGUAAAGCACUUUAAGUUGGGAGGAAGGGUAUUCACCUAAUACGUGAGUAUUUUGACGUUACCGACAGAAUAAGCACCGGCUAACUUCGUGCCAGCAGCCGCGGUAAUACGAAGGGUGCAAGCGUUAAUCGGAAUUACUGGGCGUAAAGCGCGCGUAGGUGGUUCGUUAAGUUGGAUGUGAAAGCCCCGGGCUCAACCUGGGAACUGCAUCCAAAACUGGCGAGCUAGAGUACGGUAGAGGGUGGUGGAAUUUCCUGUGUAGCGGUGAAAUGCGUAGAUAUAGGAAGGAACACCAGUGGCGAAGGCGACCACCUGGACUGAUACUGACACUGAGGUGCGAAAGCGUGGGGAGCAAACA
rnacentral:rRNA from 2 species